rnacentral:rRNA from 1 species
UACAGAGGCGGCGAGCGUUGUUCGGAUUUACUGGGCGUAAAGGGUGCGUAGGCGGUUUCGCAUGUCGGAUGUGAAAUCUCACCGCUCAACGGUGAAAUGGCAUCUGAAACUGCGGAGCUAGAGUGCAGGAGAGGAGAGCGGAAUUCCUGGUGUAGCGGUGAAAUGCGUAGAUAUCAGGAGGAACACCGGUGGCGAAAGCGGCUCUCUGGACUGUCACUGACACUGAGGCUCGAAAGCGUGGGUAGCAAACAGG